AGGAAGGUAGUGUAGUUAACACCUGCAUUAUUGACGUUACCUACAGAAGAAGCACCGGCUAACUCCGUGCCAGCAGCCGCGGUAAUACGGGAGGGUGCGAGACGUUAAUCGGUAAUUACGUGGGACGUAAAGCGCAUGCAGGCGGCCUAGUUAAGUCAGAUGUAGAAACGGCCCGGGGUACUUAACCGUACGGUAAUUGCUAUUUAGAAACGUGGCGAGGCUAGAGUCUUGUAGAGGGGGUAGAAUUUCAGGUGUAGCGGUGAAAUGCGUAGAGAUCUGAAGGAAUACCAGUGGCGAAGGCGGCCCCCUGGACAAAGACUGACGCUCAGAUGCGAAAGCGUGGGGAGCAAACAGGAUUAGAUACCCUGGUAG
rnacentral:rRNA from 1 species